UACAAUGGGGAUUGGCUCUGUAAGCUCUCAUUUUCUUACUCUUCUUUUCUUCUGCAACUUCCUAAGCUUCAGAUCUGUGCUUAUUGUCUAGCUUUUCCUUCUAUCUCUGUUUGUUUAUCUUGCACUACUUGUCUCGAGUGCAGGAUUUGCCUUUUUGUUUUAGUUGAUUUGUACUGGUCUUGGAGCUAAUUGGAAUAGAUCUGCAACUGGGUUGUGUUUGGAAUGAGCUGAAAGUUGGGGAAUCAUCAACUUUUCCUGUGUCUUUGUUUGUUAGAUUAAGUUGAUAGUUCGAAUUUCAUUGCAGGUUUCUGCUUGGAGAAGUUAAUUUAAUUGCUGAAUUUUGAUGUGGUUUAGCUUAUCAGAUCUUUGGUUUCUUGUGCAUAUUUAUGUGGGUUCCAGUGAAUGAAACAGAGUCUGGCUGCUGAGAAAAUGCAAAGAAAUUUAUGGUUGCUAAAUAGAAAAACGAAGAAGACCAAUUACCUAUAAUAAGCUAAGUAGAGGAUAAUUUUAUGGUUCCUAGGAGAACUUGAGAAGUGCAGAAACAAUGAAACAUGCAUGUUUGUGCAAGCCCAAGAAAAGGUUGUAAAAGUCUUGGAUUAACUUUAUUCAUUGCUUUGCUAACCAUCAGAUCCAAAAUUUUGCCUCUUACUUCUACAGUUUCGCGUCGGAUCUUGAACUUUCUUGGAUUUCCUGUUUGUGUUACCCAAAGUGCUUAUCUUUACGCUUUGAGCGUUUAUUAUUUACUUUUGGUGAUUCUAUUAAAUGUUUCUUCUUCUUUUUUUUACUUUUUUCUUUUUCAAAUCAAAGGGGCUGGAUUGAGUUUACAAGCCAAGUUUAAUCCAACGAAUUAUCAACUGCCCAGUUUCCUCACUUUACCAUUUUGAAUUUGGGUCCUUUAGCUGAAUGAUUUAGCUUUAACUACAUUUUCCAGACCCUUAGGCCUCAACCUAAACUCAGUUAAGCAAACUUGAAGCCACAAAACUGGAUUGAGUUUGUCUUGAAUUUUGCUUAAGAAAAUGCUUUGGUUCAGUCAACAAUCCCAAUUAGGGCCCAAUUUUUACUUCUGCAUUCUUUGCACAUGUUAAGAAACAAUUCCCCCAAUAAUUGUGCCCUUUUGUCAGAUGGGAUAGGUGUAUUGGAAUACCGGAAAUAUAAACAUCAUGCACAAGAAGUGCAAUGGGUAGUGUAUUUGCAUAAAUUGUACUAUGAUCCAUAUAAGAAUCAUUUUAUUAAUCUCAUUAUCUGAACUGGUCUCAAAUCCUAUUAAAAUUUAUCUUUUAUUUACCAGAAACAUAAAACUUCUUAAUAAACUGUGAUGAUUAAGGGGAAAUAUGAAUUUUUCUUCCAAAUAUUCAAUUUAACUAUUUGGCAUCAGCCUAUAGGACCUUGAAAUGUCACUUU
rnacentral:misc_RNA from 1 species